CUGGGUUCCGGAAGCUUGUGGCAUAAAAGGUGAACAGUAAUUAAGCAUGGCCACAUCACACAAAAUUUCAAGUUCAGGCUCUGUCGUGCCUAGAAUGCAUCGGUGGAAUAGCACACAAAUGGUGUUUAUUUACUAAACUGGGAGCUGUAGAGAAUCCCAAAUGGCAAAGCUGAAGCUAAAAUAGCCAAAACUGUGGCAAUAGACAAAUUGAUGAAUUUUCCCAAAUUAGCUUGUUU